rnacentral:lncRNA from 1 species
GAAAACCGCUGCCAGGGAGACUUUUGAACUCCGCCGCUCGCUGUCUGGCUCUCCCCUCUCGGCCCGGUGCACCUCUCUCCACCCUCCCCCCUGCACCCUCCUGGCCGGCGCGCUCGCCAGCGCGCUCGCUCGCUCGCUCUCCCGCGACCCGACGAGUCCUCAACAAGUUGGAGGAAGGCAGGAACGGAGGGGUUAAGCUCGGAGAGCCGCAAUUACCAAGAUCGUGACCCUCCCACACAGUACAGUAACUUAUAUACUUACCUGGAAGAGCCCGCUCUGCCGCCGGGCCAACACCCGUGGGGGGCGGGGAAGGGCGGGAGGGGAGCGGGCCGGUUGGAGAGGGGCUCCUCCACGCUGGCUGCAGUGCGGACCGGACCGGCGCGCUCCAGGGACCUGGGGACCCAGGUAAUCAAAACUGCCCUGACACCUGGACGUCUGCAUGAGGGAUGGUCACAGAAGGAGGAAGUCUCAGAGGCCAUAGGAGCUAAAGAGUCUAUGCAGAUGAGCUCUGGAGUCCCAGACUUAUGAAAUCCUCCAGUUCAUAGCUAUUUCCCGCUCCAACUUGCCCUUCAGGGAGCUUGUCCAGAAAAAAACCUGUUUCAGGUAGUUUUGCAUAAGAAUUAUUUGUAUUUAAAUAUGAAACAGUCAUGAAAACAGUUGCUAUCUCUUCAAAUAAUAAAAACAAAUGGUAUUUAAAAAAUAC